CAGCCGCCGCGGUAAUACGUAGGGUGCGAGCGUUAAUCGGAAUUACUGGGCGUAAAGCGUGCGCAGGCGGUUAUGUAAGACAGAUGUGAAAUCCCCGGGCUCAACCUGGGAACUGCAUUUGUGACUGCAUGGCUAGAGUACGGGAGAGGGGGAUGGAAUUCCGCGUGUAGCAGUGAAAUGCGUAGAUAUGCGGAGGAACACCGAUGGCGAAGGCAAUCCCCUGGACCUGUACUGACGCUCAUGCACGAAAGCGUGGGGAGCAAACAGGAUUAGAUACCCUGGUAGUCCACGCCCUAAACGAUGUCAACUGGUUGUUGGGAAUUAGUUUUCUCAGUAACGAAGCUAACGCGUGAAGUUGACCGCCUGGGGAGUACGGCCGCAAGGUUGAAACUUAAAGGAAUUGGCGGG
rnacentral:rRNA from 1 species